rnacentral:tRNA from 1 species
GCCUCCGUGGCGCAAUCGGCUAGCGCGUUCGGCUGUUAACCGAAAGGUUGGUGGUUCGAGCCCACCAGGAGGCG